UACGAAGGGGGCUAGCGUUGCUCGGAAUCACUGGGCGUAAAGCGCACGUAGGCGGCUUUUUAAGUCGGGGGUGAAAUCCUGGAGCUCAACUCCAGAACUGCCUUUGAUACUGGCGAUCUUGAGUCCGGGAGAGGUGAGUGGAACUGCGAGUGUAGAGGUGAAAUUCGUAGAUAUUCGCAAGAACACCAGUGGCGAAGGCGGCUCACUGGCCCGGUAUGACGCUGA
rnacentral:rRNA from 1 species